UUCCCCUAGUAACUGCGAGUGAAGCGGGAAAAGCUCAAAUUUUAAAUCUGGCAGUCUUUUGACUGUCCGAGUUGUAAUCUAGAGAAGUGUUAUCCGCGCUGGACCGUGUAUAAGUCUCCUGGAAUGGAGCGUCAUAGAGGGUGAGAAUCCCGUCUCUGACACGGACUACCAGGGCUUUUGUGAUACACUCUCAAAGAGUCGAGUUGUUUGGGAAUGCAGCUCAAAAUGGGUGGUAAAUUCCAUCUAAAGCUAAAUAUUGGCGAGAGACCGAUAGCGAACAAGUACCGUGAGGGAAAGAUGAAAAGAACUUUGGAAAGAGAGUUAAAUAGUACGUGAAAUUGCUGAAAGGGAAACGCUUGAAGUCAGUCGCGUUGUCCAGGGAUCAACCUUGCUUUUGCUUGGUGUACUUUCUGGUUAACGGGUCAACAUCAAUUUUGACUAUUGGAAAAAGGUCAAGGGAAUGUGGCAUCUUUGGAUGUGUUAUAGCCCUUGGUUGUAUACAAUAGUUGGGAUUGAGGAACUCAGCACGCCGUAAGGCUGGGUAAUUUAUUUACUACAUACGUGCUUAGGAUGUUGGCAUAAUGGCUUUAAUCGACCCGUCUUGAAACACGGACCAAGGAGUCUAACAUGCCUGCGAGUAUUUGAGUGGAAAACUCAAGUGCGUAAUGAAAGUGAAAGUUGAGAUCCCUUGUUAAAGGGGGAGCAUCGACGCCCGGACCAGACCUUUUGUGACGGUUCUGCGGUAGAGCAUGUAUGUUGGGACCCGAAAGAUGGUGAACUAUGCCUGAAUAGGGUGAAGCCAGAGGAAACUCUGGUGGAGGCUCGUAGCGAUUCUGACGUGCAAAUCGAUCGUCAAAUUUGGGUAUAGGGGCGAAAGAC
rnacentral:rRNA from 1 species